CCAUUGGACAGCCCCGUCCAUGUUCGCCCAAUGGGCAGAAGGGAUGUUGUCAGGGAGUGGGCGGAGCCCAGGGCGUGUGGCUCGGGAGCUGAGCGAGAGAAGUGGAGGGCAGGGCAACCCAUGCCGGCUGCCACAGCACCCCCUGUAGGGCCGAAUGAGCGGCGUCCGUCCCGCGGCACUCGGGUGAACCGCAGCUUCCUUCAACAAAGAUUAAGCGACUGCGAUAGGCGCUGCAGAUACGAGGAAGGAGGCGACAGGGCCUAGCUGUCACACAGCUUGGUGAAGAAGCCAGGAGACAUAAACACAAGAGUGUAACGGAAAACUUUAUAUGAUAAACAUUUAUGUCGGGUUAGUGAAGCGCAAAGGAAGAACGAUCACUUGUGGGUGGGCGGAGGCUCACAGAAGCGGCGCAAGCUCAACAGGUGGGCAAGGAAGAGCAGAAUGCGUAGACCCAUUUUAGAUCUGCAGUGUAUGUCAGAUGACUGGUGUUUAGGAGAUGAGGAAGAAGCCAUAUAAUCACUUAUGCAAGGAUAAGAAAUCUGAUCCUCCAAGCAGGAGGAUCGCUUGAGCCCAGGAGUUCGAGGCUGCAGUGAGCCAUGAUCGCGCUACGCACCCAGCUUGGGCAUCAGAGCAAGACACUGUCGCAAAAGUGAAAACAAAAUAAAGAAGAUGGCCUGAAGGGGACACCAGAGCCCUUUCUAUCUCUUUUUCAGAAAAAUCCCAAGGAACAAUUGUUUUGGAUUACUUAGUGGACUCAGCGUGGAAACUGCUUGUGUGGCCCAGCUAGGUAGGGGCGUUCAGACAAGGAGACCUGACCUGGAGCUUCUGGGAUGAUUCCAAGGGCAUCUGUGCAGGUGUCUGCAUAUUAGCAGCACCAUCUGCUUGGUUGUCUCUCAAAGGAAGAAGAAUCCUGGCCUGAUGAACUCCUCAAGCUCUCUUCUUUGGGAAAUAGGAAGAUCACAAUUUGAAAUCUUAAUCCAAGAUUGAAAGUUGGUUGCCAUCUUUGCAAUGCCUCCCAGCUGAUGCUUCAACAGGCUACUCCACCAUUCUCUCAGACUGGGUAGUAUGAUAUUGUUACUGAAACACCAGAGGUUUGGUCUACGUCCUGCUGCUCGCUGCACAGAAAGCCAAUGACAGAGACAACGAGUAUUACCAAGGAAUAAGCAAAAAAGAAGAAGGAAGAAGAAGGAGUCGUGCUAUAGCCUUCUGUAGCUACAGAUCGGGUGCUACAGCCGAGGAGAUGGGAGCUUAGUCUCAAAUCCAUCUCCCUGCUGUACUAAAACUAGAGGUUUAUAUAGCAGGGAAGAAGUGUAACAAUGUAUAACAAAAUAGGAACUAGGGAGGGGCAAGGAAGCAAUCAUGAUGAAUGAGGGGUCCAGCAUCUCAUUGUCCAUUGUCUGGAUGUGGUGAUUUUUUAUUUUAUUUUUUUUGAGACAGAGUCUUG